GGGGAAUAUUGCACAAUGGGGGAAACCCUGAUGCAGCGACGCCGCGUGAGUGAAGAAGUACUUCGGUAUGUAAAGCUCUAUCAGCAGGGAAGAAAAUGACGGUACCUGACUAAGAAGCCCCGGCUAACUACGUGCCAGCAGCCGCGGUAAUACGUAGGGGGCAAGCGUUAUCCGGAUUUACUGGGUGUAAAGGGAGCGUAGGUGGUUUGGUAAGUCAGGUGUGAAAGCCCGGGGCUCAACUCCGGGAUUGCACUUGAAACUAUCAAACUAGAGUGCAGGAGAGGUAAGUGGAAUUCCUAGUGUAGCGGUGAAAUGCGUAGAUAUUAGGAGGAACACCAGUGGCGAAGGCGGCUUACUGGACUGUAACUGACACUGAGGCUCGAAAGCGUGGGGAGCAAAC
rnacentral:rRNA from 1 species